rnacentral:rRNA from 1 species
UACGUAGGUGGCAAGCGUUGUUCGGAAUUAUUGGGCGUAAAGGGCGCGUAGGCGGUUUGUUAAGUCAGUUGUGAAAGCCCGGGGCUCAACCCCGGAGAGUCGACUGAUACUGGCAGACUAGAGUACGGAAGAGGUAGCUGGAAUUCCCGGUGUAGCGGUGAAAUGCGUAGAUAUCGUAAGGAAGACCAGUGGCGAAGGCGGGUCUCUGGACAGUUCCUGACGCUGAGGCACGAAGGUCAGGGGAGCAAACGGG